AUUGAACGCUGGCGGCAGGCCUAACACAUGCAAGUCGAGCGAGCGGCGGACGGGUGAGUAAUGUAUGGGGACUGCCCGAUAGAGGGGGAUAACUACUGGAAACGGUAGCUAAUACCGCAUACUAUCGGAUAACCCAUAUGGGAUUAGCUAGUAGGUGAGGUAAUGGCUCACCUAGGCGACGAUCCCUAGCUGGUCUGAGAGGAUGAUCAGCCACACUGGGAGUAUGACGCGGCCCAGACUCCUGCGGAGGCAGCAGUGGGGAAUGUUGGACAAUGGGCGCAAUCCUGAUGCAGCCAUGCCGCGUGUAUGGAGAAGGCCCUAGGGUUGUAAAGUACUUUCAGUCGGUAGGCGUUACCGGCAGAAGAAGCACCGGCUAACUCCGUGCCAGCAGCCGCGGUAAUAC
rnacentral:rRNA from 1 species